rnacentral:misc_RNA from 1 species
AACGUAGGAGGCAAACGUUAUCCGGAUUUACUGGGCGUAAAGCGCAUGCAGGCGGUUUUUUAAGUCGGACGUGAAAGCUCCUGGCUCAACUAGGAGAGGCCGUUCGAAACUAAAAGACUUGAGGAUGGUAGAGGAGAGUGGAAUUCCCGGUGUAGUGGUGAAAUGCGUAGAUAUCGGGAGGAACACCAGUGGCGAAAGCGGCUCUCUGGGCCAUUCCUGACGCUCAGAUGCGAAAGCUAGGGGAGAGAACGGG